rnacentral:piRNA from 1 species
CCAAGGAUUUAUCAUUUUGUUGGGGCAA